GGCUUGAUUGGCGCAGUGGUUAGCACACUGGACUCGCAUUCGGGAGGACGACGGUUCAAUCCCGUCUCCAGCCA
rnacentral:tRNA from 1 species